rnacentral:rRNA from 1 species
CAAAAGCGUAUAUUAAAGUUGUUGCAGUUAAAAAGCUCGUAGUUGAACCUUGGGCUUGGCUGGCCGGUCCAUCUUUUUUGAUGCGUACUGGACCCAGCCGAGCCUUUCCUUCUGGCUAGCCUUUUGGCGAACCAGGACUUUUACUUUGAAAAAAUUAGAGUGUUCAAAGCAGGCCUUUGCUCGAAUAUAUUAGCGUGGAAUAAUAGAAUAGGACGUUAUGGUUCUAUUUUGUUGGUUUCUAGGACCAUCGUAAUGAUUAAUAGGGACGGUCGGGGGUAUCAGUAUUCAGUUGUCAGAGGUGAAAUUCUUGGAUUUACUGAAGACUAACUACUGCGAAAGCAUUUACCAAGGACGUUUUCAUUAA